CCUACGGGAGGCAGCAGUGGGGAAUAUUGCACAAUGGGGGGAACCCUGAUCCAGCGACGCCGCGUGAGUGAAGAAGUAUCUCGGUAUGUAAAGCUCUAUCAGCAGGGAAGAAAGAAAUGACGGUACCUGACUAAGAAGCCCCGGCUAACUACGUGCCAGCAGCCGCGGUAAUACGUAGGGGGCAAGCGUUCUCCGGAUUUACUGGGUGUAAAGGGAGCGUAGACGGCUGAGCAAGUCUGAAGUGAAAGGCGGGGGCCCAACCCCCGGACUGCUGUGGAAACUGUAUAGCUAGAGUGCAGGAGAGGUAAGUGGAAUUCCUAGUGUAGCGGUGAAAUGCAUAGAUAUUAGGAGGAACACCAGUGGCGAAGGCGGCUUACUGGACUGUAACUGACGUUGAGGCUCGAAAGCGUGGGGAGCAAACAGGAUUAGAUACCCCGGUAGUC
rnacentral:rRNA from 1 species